AGUGAACGCUGGCGGUAGGCCUAACACAUGCAAGUCGAACGGCAGCACAGUAAGAGCUUGCUCUUACGGGUGGCGAGUGGUGGACGGGUGAGGAAUACAUCGGAAUCUACUUUUUCGUGGGGGAUAACGUAGGGAAACUUACGCUAAUACCGCAUACGACAUACGGGUGAAAGCAGGGGAUCUUCGGACUUUGCGCGAUUGAAUGAGCCGAUGUCGGAUUAGCUAGUUGGCGCGGUAAAGGCCCACCAAGGCGACGAUCCGUAGAUGGUCUGAGUGGAUGAUCAGCUACACUGGAACUGAGACACGGUCCCGACUCCUACGGGAGGCAGCGGUGGGGACUAUUGGACAAUGGGCGCAAGCCUGAUCCAGCACUACCGAGUAGGUGAAGAAGGCGUUCGGGUUGUAGAGCCAUUUUGUUGGGAAAGAAAAGAAGCAGGAUAAUACCCCGCUGUUCUGACGGUACCCAAAGAAUAAGCACCGGCUAACUUCGUG
rnacentral:rRNA from 1 species